CGAACGAGAAAGCACUUCGGUGUGAGUACAGUGGCGCACGGGUGAGUAACGCGUAGAUGACGUGCCAUAUAUGGGGGGACACAUCGUGAAAACGGUGCUAAUACCGCAUAUGAUAGCUGACAUUGAAAAAGGCUAAGAAAGGGGCUUCGGUCUCGCUAUAUGAUCGGUCUGCGUGACAUUAGCUUGAUGGUGGGGUAAUGGCCUACCAUGGCGACGAUGUCUAGCUGGUCUGAGAGGAUGAUCAGUCACACUGGAACUGAGACACGGUCCAGACUCCUACGGGAGGCAGCAGUAGGGAAUAUUGCACAAUGGGGGAAACCCUGAUGCAGCAAUGCCACGUGAGUGAGGAAGGUUUUCGGAUUGUAAAGCUCUGUCCUAUAGGAAGAACUGCCUUAGGUAACGCUAAGGUUUGACGGUACUAUAGAAGAAAGCACCGGCUAACUCCGUG
rnacentral:rRNA from 1 species